rnacentral:ncRNA from 2 species
ACAAAAUAAGAUAAUAUUGGUGCUGCACCGUUGAGUGCAGUUUAGGGGAACCGGGUGUAAAUCCUGGACGGUCCCGCCACUGUAAAGGGGAGCUUUCUUUAGCAAAAUAAUCAGCAGUACCGGAUUGUUGAUAAGGGCAGCCGAACCUAAGUCAGAUUACCCACCUUUAUUGGAUUAGCCUA